GACGAACGCUGGCGGCGUGCUUAACACAUGCAAGCCGAACGGAAAGGCCCUGCUUUUGUGGGGUGCUCGAGUGGCGAACGGGUGAGUAACACGUGAGUAACCUGCCCUUGACUUUGGGAUAACUUCAGGAAACUGGGGCUAAUACCGGAUAGGAGCUCCUGCCGCAUGGUGGGGGUUGGAAAGUUUCGGCGGUUGGGGAUGGACUCGCGGCUUAUCAGCUUGUUGGUGGGGUAGUGGCUUACCAAGGCUUUGGCGGGUAGCCGGCCUGAGAGGGUGACCGGCCACAUUGGGACUGAGAUACGGCCCAGACUCCUACGGGAGGCAGCAGUGGGGAAUAUUGCACAAUGGGCGGAAGCCUGAUGCAGCAACGCCGCGUGCGGGAUGACGGCCUUCGGGUUGUAAACCGCUUUCGCCUGUGACGAAGCGUGAGUGACGGUAAUGGGUAAAGAAGCACCGGCUAACUACGUG
rnacentral:rRNA from 1 species